rnacentral:rRNA from 1 species
UACGUAGGUGGCAAGCGUUGUUCGGAAUUAUUGGGCGUAAAGGGCGCGUAGGCGGUUUGUUAAGUCGGUCGUGAAAGCCCGGGGCUCAACCCCGGAGGGUCGACCGAUACUGGCAGACUAGAGUACAGAAGAGGUAACUGGAAUUCCCGGUAUAGCGGUGAAAUGCGUAGAUAUCGGGAGGAACACCAGAGGCGAAGGCGGGUUACUGGGCUGAUACUGACGCUGAUGCGCGAAAGCUAGGGGAGCAAACGGG